UAAGGAAUAUUGCGCAAUGGAGGAAACUCUGACGCAGCAACGCCGCGUGUAGGAAGAAGGCCCUUCGGGUCGUAAACUACUGUAGCAGGGGAAUAACGGUUUGCCACGGGCAGACAUGAAGGUACCCUGAAAGUAAGCGCCGGCUAACUACGUGCCAGCAGCCGCGGUAAUACGUAGGGCGCAAGCGUUGUCCGGAUUCACUGGGUGUAAAGGGUGCGUAGGCGGGAGAGUAAGUCCGCGGUGAAAUCUCACGGCUCAACCGUGAAACUGCCGUUGAUACUGCUUUUCUUGAGUUCGGGAGAGGUUGAUGGAAUUCCAGGUGUAGCGGUGAAAUGCGUAGAUAUCUGGAAGAACACCAGUGGCGAAGGCGGUCAACUGGCCCGAAACUGACGCUGAGGCACGAAAGCGUGGGGAGCGAACAG
rnacentral:rRNA from 1 species